CUCACUGGCAAGGGGUAGGGGCGUGAGAAAAGCUUUUACGGGGUCUUCUUCCGCGCUUUUUUUCUAGUGCGCUCUUUCCUUUUGCUGUGAUUCAGGGCUGAGGACAGCUGCCCCCUUCUCUGCCCCGAACCUGAUCGAGGAGGUCGUCACCUCUUCCUCCGCUGCUGUCGUCGCCACCUCAUCCUUUCUUUGAAUGGGGCCAACUGUUUGCUGAAGUGUGAUGUGUGAAGAUGUCAGAGGAAAUGAGCUUAAGCGUCUCAGGAGCUUCAAUUCAGGAGCGUAUAUGCCCAAGCCUGUGGGAAUAUGGAGGACAAACAGGGCAAACAGCAGAAGAGAAACUGUGUGAAUGUAUGUACACCUCUUUUGUCCAUCACAGAAGUGAAUAGAUACAUCUGUACAAAUAAAUGGAAAUUGAGCUCAA